ensembl:lncRNA novel transcript
GAGACCUGGUGACAGGAGCCAUGAGGGGCCAGGCCUCAGGUCCCACAGGGCUGGGAGCAUCCCCGGGGCAGGCGGAGGUCGGAGGUGGUGAGGCCUUUCGGCGAAGCUGAGGCCUGGAACAACCCGGUGGGAAGCCACGGAGGGGGUCCCCUAGCGGAGGCUGGGCGCGGGCCGGUGCGCGUGCGCGGCUGGAGGCUCAGCGCGCGAGCGUGCGCGUGAUUUGGCCCUGAACGGACGCCGUAGCCGAGAGGUUGGGCGGAUGUUGUGAACCGGGUCGCGGCGGCCGAGGCUCGGGCCUCCAGGACCACUGGCUGCCCAUGAGAGACGAAGGAUGGCAUCCAAGGGGGCCGGCGUGUCUUUCUCCCGCAAGAGCUGUAGGCUGACCUCAGAUGCUGAGAAAUCCAGGGUCACAGGCAUUGUGCAGGAGAAGCUGCUGAAUGACUACCUGAACCGCAUCUUUCCUCUUCUGACCAUGCACCCCCAGCAGCCACCGGCAGUUACUCGGGAGGCUGAGGCAGGAGAAUCGCUUGAACCGGAGAGGCGGACGUUGCAGUGAGCCGAGGUCAAACCAGUGCACUCCAGCCUGGGCAACAGAGCGAGACUCCAUCUGAAAAAGAAACAAAAAGAAAAAAAAA